rnacentral:rRNA from 1 species
CAAGUCGAACGAUGAACCUGGAGCUUGCUCUAGGGGAUUAGUGGCGAACGGGUGAGUAACACGUGAGUAACCUGCCCUUGACUCUGGGAUAACCUCCGGAAACGGAAGCUAAUACCGGAUAUGACGUACGGAGGCAUCUCCUGUACGUGGAAAGAACUUCGGUCAAGGAUGGACUCGCGGCCUAUCAGGUAGUUGGUGAGGUAACGGCCCACCAAGCCUACGACGGGUAGCCGGCCUGAGAGGGUGACCGGCCACACUGGGACUGAGACACGGCCCAGACUCCUACGGGAGGCAGCAGUGGGGAAUAUUGCACAAUGGGCGCAAGCCUGAUGCAGCAACGCCGCGUGAGGGAUGACGGCCUUCGGGUUGUAAACCUCUUUUAGUAGGGAAGAAGCGAAAGUGACGGUACCUGCAGAAAAAGCACCGGCUAACUACGUGCCAGCAGCCGCGGUAAUACGUAGGGUGCGAGCGUUGUCCGGAAUUAUUGGGCGUAAAGAGCUCGUAGGCGGUCUGUCGCGUCUGCUGUGAAAACCCGAGGCUCAACCUCGGGCCUGCAGUGGGUACGGGCAGACUAGAGUGCGGUAGGGGAGAAUGGAAUUUCCUGGUGUACCGGUGGAAUGCGCAUAUAUCAUGAGGAACACCGAUGGCCGAAGGCAG